AUUGAACGCUGGCGGCAGGCCUAACACAUGCAAGUCGAACGGUAACAGGAAGAAGCUUGCUUCUUUGCUGACGAGUGGCGGACGGGUGAGUAAUGUCUGGGAAACUGCCUGAUGGAGGGGGAUAACUACUGGAAACGGUAGCUAAUACCGCAUAAUGUCGCAAGACCAAAGAGGGGGACCUUCGGGCCUCUUGCCAUCGGAUGUGCCCAGAUGGGAUUAGCUAGUAGGUGGGGUAACGGCUCACCUAGGCGACGAUCCCUAGCUGGUCUGAGAGGAUGACCAGCCACACUGGAACUGAGACACGGUCCAGACUCCUACGGGAGGCAGCAGUGGGGAAUAUUGCACAAUGGGCGCAAGCCUGAUGCAGCUAUGCCGCGUGUAUGAAGAAGGCCUUCGGGUUGCAAAGUACUUUCAGCGGGGAGGAAGGGAGUAAAGUUAAUACCUUUGCUCAUUGACGUUACCCGCAGAAGAAGCACCGGCUAACUCCGUG
rnacentral:rRNA from 1 species